UGCUAAUACAUGCAAGUCGAGCGGAUCGAUGGGAGCUUGCUCCCUGAGAUCAGCGGCGGACGGGUGAGUAACACGUGGGUAACCUGCCUGUAAGACUGGGAUAACUCCGGGAAACCGGGGCUAAUACCGGAUAACACCUACCCCCGCAUGGGGGAAGGUUGAAAGGUGGCUUCGGCUAUCACUUACAGAUGGACCCGCGGCGCAUUAGCUAGUUGGUGAGGUAACGGCUCACCAAGGCGACGAUGCGUAGCCGACCUGAGAGGGUGAUCGGCCACACUGGGACUGAGACACGGCCCAGACUCCUACGGGAGGCAGCAGUAGGGAAUCUUCCGCAAUGGACGAAAGUCUGACGGAGCAACGCCGCGUGAGUGAAGAAGGUUUUCGGAUCGUAAAACUCUGUUGUUAGGGAAGAACAAGUGCCGUUCGAAUAGGGCGGCACCUUGACGGUACCUAACCAGAAAGCCACGGCUAACUACGUGCCAGCAGCCGCGGUAAUACGUAGGUGGCAAGCGUUGUCCGGAAUUAUUGGGCGUAAAGCGCGCGCAGGUGGUUUCUUAAGUCUGAUGUGAAAGCCCACGGCUCAACCGUGGAGGGUCAUUGGAAACUGGGGAACUUGAGUGCAGAAGAGGAAAGUGGAAUUCCAAGUGUAGCGGUGAAAUGCGUAGAUAUUUGGAGGAACACCAGUGGCGAAGGCGACUUUCUGGUCUGUAACUGACACUGAGGCGCGAAAGCGUGGGGAGCAAACAGGAUUAGA
rnacentral:rRNA from 1 species